rnacentral:rRNA from 1 species
UACGGGGGGGGCAAGCGUUGUUCGGAAUUACUGGGCGUAAAGGGCGCGUAGGCGGCUUUUCAAGUCGGGCGUGAAAGCUCCGGGCUUAACCCGGAAAUGUCGCUCGAUACUGUUGAGCUAGAGUGUGGAAGAGGCUACUGGAAUUCCGUGUGUAGCGGUGAAAUGCGUAGAUAUCGAGAGGAACACCUGCGGCGAAGGCGGGUUGCUGGGCUGACACUGACGCUGACAGCGCGAAAGCUAGGGGAGCGAACGGG